rnacentral:rRNA from 1 species
CCCUUAGAUGUUCUGGGCGGCCCGCGCACUACAUUGGCACUCUCAAUAAGUUCCUAGAUCUAAAACUUUGGGGUAUUCUAUUAAGUGGUGUCGUGACUGGGAUUAACCCUUGCAAUUAUUGGUUACGAACGAGGAAUUCCUUGUAAUCGCGGUUUAUCAGCCCGCGUUGAAUGCGUCCCUGCCCUCUGUACACACCGCCCGUCGCUCCUACCGAUGAAUCGUCCGGUGAAGUUCAUGGAGUGGUGGUUGUUCCAGCUGCUGUCGAAGUGAAAUGGACCUCACGAUUUAGAGGAAGGAGAAGUCGUAACA